rnacentral:rRNA from 1 species
AGAGUUUGAUCCUGGCUCAGAGCGAACGCUGGCGGCAGGCUUAACACAUGCAAGUCGAGCGGGCGUAGCAAUACGUCAGCGGCAGACGGGUGAGUAACGCGUGGGAACGUACCUUUUGGUUCGGAACAACACAGGGAAACUUGUGCUAAUACCGGAUAAGCCCUUACGGGGAAAGAUUUAUCGCCGAAAGAUCGGCCCGCGUCUGAUUAGCUAGUUGGUGAGGUAACGGCUCACCAAGGCGACGAUCAGUAGCUGGUCUGAGAGGAUGAUCAGCCACAUUGGGACUGAGACACGGCCCAAACUCCUACGGGAGGCAGCAGUGGGGAAUAUUGGACAAUGGGCGCAAGCCUGAUCCAGCCAUGCCGCGUGAGUGAUGAAGGCCCUAGGGUUGUAAAGCUCUUU